AGUGCAUACAAACUCUUUGUCACUGCCAAGGAGUAAUUAGGACUACAAUUAGUUCAAGUAUGACUGAAUAAAUGGUGCCAAGUUCAGGGAUUCCCAGAUUGAAACUCGAAGAAGAAGAAGAAGAAGAAGAAAAAGAAGAAGACGUGCAACAAUUGUAGAUAAACUGUAGAAAAAUUAUAGACUGUUGUUAAUUUAUUUUUGAGCUUUUGUGUUUUUGUGUUAAAAGUUUUGAUGGGAGCUUGUUAUUCCACUUCGUCUGUUUUGGAGCCAACUUAUGUAGAGGAGAAGAUGUUUUUUAAGUUAUAUAUAUUGCUAUACCUUUAAA